UUAAGGCAUUCUUAAUAUCAUCCGUAUUCUUAAGCCGAGUUUACAUUGGUAUAGUAAACGGGUUAGUUACUUGUACCAGUAGCUUGUAAGACAACAACUAAAGGGGGAUUUACACGGCUCCAGUAGCUGGAACAAGUACUAAAGCCAGAAACUAAAAUUUAACUAAUGGAACUAUGUAGACACCAUGACUUAGUACUUGAGCAAGUAAGCUUUUUAGUCAGUAGUUUAGUCAAGAGAAUAGAAGCAGGUCCUAUUUACUAGAGCAAGUGGCUUCCCCCACUCUUGUUUCUCGACUCGCUCAAGUGAACUGGACGCGUCUAGACAGGAUCGUUUAGCCCAUUUUAGUAAAGUAUAUUAGUAGGGUUUUAAUUUUGAAUAGCAGCGCCGUACAUCACGUUGCAAUGUCGUCUCGUUAGUCUGAAGAAACAACUGUUCAAUUUGUGCAAGAAUAUAGAGACCAAUCGUGUCUCUAAAACACAAAAAUGUCACUUUACAAACACAAGCAAGCAAGAGAUGCGGCGCUUAAAAUGAUACAAGAUAAUGGACAUUAAAGGUUUGGGGUGAACGAAAUAAAAAACAAAAUAAAAGCAUUGAGAUCCACUUAUUCUCAGGAGAAGAAAAAAAUUAAAGAUUCUAAAAAAUCGGGAGCUGGCUUAGACAGUAUUUAUGUGCCAAAUGUAAAAUGGUUCAUUGAAAUGGACAGUUUCUUGAACAAUUUAGAAGACAAUAAAAGGCCCACUCAAGAUAAUUUAAACACUGUCCACUCUGAAGAAAUGCCCGAUGACAAUGACACACAAGUGGAAGAAGUAUCAGUGGUGUCCGUACCGCCGCCAC